AACACUUUUUCUCAACGAUUACCAAAUUUCUUUGAUUAGGGUUUCUCGCGAAACAAUUGAAUUUUUUUUCCCAAUCUCCGAUUCUGCCGUCAGAUUUCUCUCUGAUUAGGGUUUCAUAAUCAUGAUCUUGCUUUUACUGCCGCACCAAUGCUUUGAUUCGUCACGACUUUUGUCAAUCUAAAAAGGUUUCGGAAAUUUCAGGGUUUCAUCCUCACGAUCAUCAUUCAAGUGUUCCGCUUGGGAAAGUCAGUUCUUCCAACAGAGAGAGAGAGAGAGAGUUCUCUAUUCUCUAAUGGUCGGUCGAUUGAUUUCUCCCCUCUCUCUCUGACUCUCUUGUUGAUGCUGAUUUUUGAAGAACUAAAGAAGAUUCAGAGCACAAUUAGGGUUUUAUGACCCCAAACAUCAUCAAUUCAAUGGUAUAUGAAAUCAGCUUCUUCCCCAAUCCAUCGUGUGUGGUUUCCAGGGGCGUUUCUUCAACGAGCAAGUUCAGUUUGCAGGAGGACGUUGCUUGUUUGUUUCCAUGGUCAGUGUUUGUUUCUUCUUCUGAUUUGACGACAGCCAAGUACAGAGCAGGUCAGAGAGAUGGAUUGAAGAAUGAAGAAGAAUACUUAACUCUGCUUUAUAUAUCCCAGAGAGAUAGAUGGAUUGAAGAAUGAAGAAGAUCACUAAGCUGAUUUUGUGACCGGCGCCUCUUGGACUGCCACCAGAGCUUCCCAAGGAGUGUAAACAUGGAGAGGUUUCAUGCAUGUCCUCCAAAAGGUGAAACUUCGUGGGGCUCUUUAAGCUCCUCUCUAAACCACCAGAGAGAGAUGGAUUGAAGAUUGAAGAAGAUCACUUAAGCAGACUGCUUAAGGUGGAGAUCUACACGAUGGAAGGGAAGUCAUUCUCCAGAUUUUGCGGUGUUGGUUUCUCUCUCCUGCGAUUGAAACGAUGACGACGGCGGCUCUCUUAAAGUCAUUGUCGCCGUGGGGUCCGGGUUUCCAUGGGCGUUUCUUCUUCUUCUUCUUCUUCUUCAACGAGCAAGUUAAGGAGGAUUUUAGUGCCCCGUGAGGAUCGGGGACGUUGCUUGUUUCGUUUCCAUAGUUGGUGUUUCUUCUUCUGAUUUGACCGACGGCCAAAGUACAGGUCGGAUUGAAGAAUGGAGACUGAUUAAGCUGAUUUGAUGGUUGCUGCAGUAGCACUUGGGAUAAAAACAAAAACAGAGGUUUGUCACAGCUGUCCGGGACUACAAUCUGUCUAUCCAAAACUUGAAUGAUGAAAAAAAAAAGAGAAACAUACUUCUGGAGGUGACAAGCUGUGAUGUCAUACCUCUCAACAUUGGCAAUCAGGUUGGUGAGAUAUUUUGGAAUUACUUCUGAACAGCAGGGACUACAACAAGCAGCGCAAUAUGUAGGGGCCUCAAGGAUUGUCAUAUUUUCUCAGGACUAGCAGAGAAAGGCAUCAGUGGAGAUGAUGAUGAUGACUUGCUAAAAGCUCAUGACCAUUUAUGAGGUUUCUUGCCAUGAUCUCAUCUCACUUUGAUGGUUGCUGUAGUACCAUCGUUUAGCACUUAAAAUAAAAACAAACAGAGGUUUGUCACAGCUUUCCGUGACUACAAACUGUCUCUCCAGCCUCAAAACUUGAAUGGAGGAAGCAUUGCAUUUCCAAUGGUUGUGAUACGCUGCUGUCAGUGACUACAAACAGUCUAAAUUGAAUGAUGAAAAGAGAAACAUACAUCUGGAUUUAUAGAAUUAGGUUUCUUUUCAAUGCUUGCCAUGAUCUCACUUUGAUGGUUGCUGCAGUAGCACUUGGGAUUAAGAAAACAGAGGUUUGUGAUUGUUGUCACAGCUGUUUUCAGUGACUACCAACAGCAUCCCCAGCCUCUCAAAACUUGAAUGAUGAAUACAUCUGGAGGUACAGGUUUGCACCACUGUAAAGUUUCUUCCCUCGAUAUCAAAAAGCUUCUUCCCCAAUCCAUCGCGUGGUUUCCAUGGGCGUUUCUUCUUCAACGAGCAAAAGGAUAUGGUGCCAAGUGAGGAUCGGAGGACGUUGCUUGUUUGUUUCCGUAGCUGGUGCUUCUUCUUCUGAUUUGACCGACAGCCAAGUACAGGUCAGAGAGAUGGAUUGAAGAAUGAAGAAGAAGAAGAAGACUCGAGACUAAUUAACUGAUUUUCUCUUUCUCUCUAUAUAUGGUGGUUCACUUCCUUCCCAUUACUGUUAAGGAUGUUGCUGAAUUAUGGACACAAACGAUGGCAAAGGAAUUCUCUUCUUAUUGCUCUUGUGAGGGAUUAUGACCUAAACCAUGGAUACUCCUCUUCUUGCUUUGUGCUACUGAAGUGGAACUCGAGAAGGCCACAAAAUUCAACGCGGUGCUUUUUAACGGGGUUGUUUGUUUCUUUUUGGUUUAACAGGAACUUAUGGUAUCGUCGACUACACCAAUUAUGAUGACAUGAAGUAUGUGUGAUCUCUUAAUGGAAGUUAUAAGUUAUCCUCCAAUCGGAGAUAGUUUGAAGAAACGAAGAAGAUUCUAUAGGAAGCUGGUGAUGUGUGCUUUGCUGCGGUCACUCGAGACUGUGAUGGAACCCAUGGUGUCGUCGACUGCAGCAAUUAUGAUGACAUGAAGUAUGCUCUGUUUGCUCUGGUGUGCUGGCUCAUCCAUUGGAUUCACAUACAUCAUUUGUGUGAUUUCAUUCUCUUGUGCAGACUGUCCGUUUUAAAAAUGAGAAAUGCCCUAGACCAAUGUGCUACAAGGCCUACGGAAGUGGAAAGGAAGACGUCCCGAAUUAUGAUGUCCCCCGAUUUGAGAUUCUAUAGGAAGCUGGUAAUGUGUGCUUCAUGGCAAGAUUUGAAGGAUCAUAUGCGGAGAGCUGGUGAUGUGUGCUUUGCUGAGGCCACCCGAGACAGGGACACAAUAUUCUCAUGGCAACAAUGCUCAACGGAGCAGCCAUCAUGGAUGGUGCACUACUUUUGAUCGCUGCAAAUGAGACCUGUCCGCAACCACAAACGCCUGAACAUCUUGCUACCGUUGAGAUUAUGCAACUUAAGCAUAGCAUAAUGCUUCAGAACAAGAUUGAUCUUAUUCAAGAGAACGUUGCCAUUAUUCAGCACGAGGCAAUCCAGCAAUACGUUCUUCGUCCCUGCUAACAGUGGAGAGUUGGUGAGAACCCAACUGCGUUUGGCUAGGGAGAUGCACAUUUGUUAUUUGUUUCCACUCAUGAGACUUGACUUGCUAAAGCGCAAGACCAUUUAUGGUUUCAGAGGUUUCUCUCAGAAUGCUUGCCAUGAUCUCACUUUGAUCAUUUUGAUGGUUAUUAGAGGGUAUCAAAGAAAGAUGGUAUGAUGGACGAAGCAUUGCAUUUGCUCACUGCUGACAGUGACUACAAACAGCCUCUCCAGCCUCAAAACCUGAAUGAUUGAAAAGAGAAACAUACAUAUGGAGGUGACAAAAGGUGGAAGACGAGUAGAAAAUUCUAUCUAUGAUAUUGUGGUGGGUGAUGUCAUACCUCUCAACAUUUGAAAUCAGGUUCCGGCGGAUGGAGUGCUACCUUGAUGAGUCUAGCUUGACUGGAGAGAGCAAAAUGGUGUGUUUUCUUGUUUCCUAUCACAGUGAAAUCGUUGACUAAAGUUGCCUGCAACUAUCACUUCGUUUGUUUUUUCCCAGAGUUUUACACUUAGGAGUGGAAGAAUGAUUCAUAUGUUUCCUCUCCUUCAGUGGGGAUGAAUUUUCAAGACAACCAGGUCGCAGUCUUCUAUGCUUCAUGCUUUUCCGUUUAACUCAGAGAAGACAUGUGGUGGUGUUGCUGUGCAUCCGUAUCAUAUGUAGCUAGCUACUGGGAACAAGAACUCUAAACGAGAAGCUAUCAUGGUUCCUGGAUGAGGGAUGGAGGUGAAGGCACAAUUCAAAUUGUUGAAGCUUGUUGCCAUCUAUGCUCUACCAUUACAUAGAUCAGAGAGAUGGAUUGAAGAAUGAAGUAGAAGACUCAAGUCUGCUCUAGGUAAAUAGUGACUAUGCUUUCCCCUUUUUCACAAUUCAUUAAUCACAAGUAUUAAAAUCUAUGCUAUAUUUUUGUUGAUGUCUAACGACGUUACACAAAAAUCGACUGUCAACCCCAGUGGCGGAGCCAGACCAAAGGUUGAGAGGGGUCAGAAUUUUUUUUUUUUUCUAAUAAGAUAAAAAUGUAAAAUUUAUAAGGUCAAAAUAAAUUUUUAUUUUUUUAA